GCAGAUAGUCUAGUGGUUAGAGUGAUUGACUCCAAGUCGAAAGGUUCUGGGUUUGAACCCCAAUGUCUGCA